CCCUUAGAUGUUCUGGGCCACACGCGCGUUACACUGAUGAAGCCAGCGAGUAUAUCGCCUUCACCGGAAGGUGCGGGUAAUCUUGUGAAACUUCAUCGUGCUGGGGAUAGACCAUUGCAAUUAUUGGUCUUGAACGAGGAAUUCCUAGUAAGCAUGAGUCAUCAACUCGUGCUGAAUACGUCCCUGCCCUUUGUACACACCGCCCGUCGCUCCUACCGAUUGAGUGGUCCGGUGAGGCUUUGGGAUCUGAGCGGAAAGAGCGUUUCGCUGUUUCUGCUCGGAAAACUCAGUCGAACCUUAUCAUUUAGAGGAAGGAGAAGUCGUAACA
rnacentral:rRNA from 1 species